rnacentral:lncRNA from 1 species
UUGCCCAGCAAAAUUCGUCAAACUGAUUCAGCUCUUUCAUGUCGACAUGACAGGGGAAGUCCUAUCUGGUGGAGAGACUUCUGAUCGCUUCAACAUCUCCAAUGGCAUGAAACAAGGCUGUGUCCUCGCUCUGGUACUAUACAACUUAUUCUUCACCCAAGUAUUACAACAUGCUGUGAUGGAUCUAAAUCUGGGUGUCUAUAUCAAAUACCGACUGGAUGGCUCACUAUUCGACCUUCGCCACCUGACUGCAAAAACAAAGACAACAGAGAGACUCAUCCUGGAAGCUCUCUUUGCAGAUGACUGUGCUCUCAUGGCCCACCAAGAAAAUCAUCUCCAAACCAUUGUGGACAGGUUCUCCACCGCAACAAAACUGUUUGGCCUGACUAUCAGCCUCAGCAAAACAGAGGUGCUGUUCCAACCCGCACUAGGGAGGCCAACUAACCAGCCAUACAUUACAAUCGACGGCACGCAGCUUUCUAACGUCAACACUUUCAAGUACCUGGGCAGCACCAUCGCCAACGACGGGUCCCUAGACCACGAGAUUAAUGCCAGGAUCCAAAAGGCCAGCCAGGCAUUCGGGCGGCUGCACUGCAAAGUCCUCCAACACAGUGGUGUAAGCACUGUGACGAAGCUCAAAGUGUAUAACGCAGGGGUCCUCAGCUCGCUCCUGUACGGUUGUGAGACAUGGACACUGUACCGGAAGCACAUGAAACAGCUGGAGCAAUUCCACCAAUGCUCCCUCCGGUCAAUCAUGAGGAUCCGAUGGCAGGACCGAAUCACCAACCAGGAAGUCCUCGACAGAGCCAACUCCACCAGCAUUGCAGUCCUGGUCCUCAAAGCCCAGCUACGAUGGUCUGGACACGUCAUCCGCAUGGACCCACAGCGAAUACCAAGACAGGUAUUCUAUGGUGAACUGUCAGCUGGACUCAGGAAACAAGGCCGACCAAAGAGAAGAUUCAAGGAUCAGCUAAAGUCCAACUUGAAGUGGGCUGGCAUUACACCAAAGCAACUAGAACUCGCUGCCUUUGACAGAAGCAGCUGGCGAACCCAC